GCAGGCUUACACAUGCAGUCGAGCGGGGUGAUGGUGCUUGCACUAUCACUUAGCGGCGGACGGGUGAGUAAUGCUUAGGAAUCUGCCUAUUAGUGGGGGACAACAUUCCGAAAGGAAUGCUAAUACCGCAUACGUCCUACGGGAGAAAGCAGGGGAUCUUCGGACCUUGCGCUAAUAGAUGAGCCUAAGUCGGAUUAGCUAGUUGGUGGGGUAAAGGCCUACCAAGGCGACGAUCUGUAGCGGGUCUGAGAGGAUGAUCCGCCACACUGGGACUGAGACACGGCCCAGACUCCUACGGGAGGCAGCAGUGGGGAAUAUUGGACAAUGGGCGCAAGCCUGAUCCAGCCAUGCCGCGUGUGUGAAGAAGGCCUUAUGGUUGUAAAGCACUUUAAGCGAGGAGGAGGCUACUUUAGUUAAUACCUAGAGAUAGUGGACGUUACUCGCAGAAUAAGCACCGGCUAACUCUGUGCCAGCAGCCGCGGUAAUACAGAGGGUGCAAGCGUUAAUCGGAUUUACUGGGCGCAAAGCGCGCGUAGGCGGCUAAUUAAGUCAAAUGUGAAAUCCCCGAGCUUAACUUGGGAAUUGCAUUCGAUACUGGUUAGCUAGAGUGUGGGAGAGGAUGGUAGAAUUCCAGGUGUAGCGGUGAAAUGCGUAGA
rnacentral:rRNA from 1 species